ACAAGAGAGCUUGCUCUCUGGGUGACGAGCGGCGAACGGGUGAGUAAUGUCUGGGAAACUGCCCGAUGGAGGGGGAUAACUACUGGAAACGGUAGCUAAUACCGCAUAACGUCUUCGGACCAAAGUGGGGGACCUUCGGGCCUCACACCAUCGGAUGUGCCCAGAUGGGAUUAGCUAGUAGGUGAGGUAAUGGCUCACCUAGGCGACGAUCCCUAGCUGGUCUGAGAGGAUGACCAGCCACACUGGAACUGAGACACGGUCCAGACUCCUACGGGAGGCAGCAGUGGGGAAUAUUGCACAAUGGGCGCAAGCCUGAUGCAGCCAUGCCGCGUGUGUGAAGAAGGCCUUCGGGUUGUAAAGCACUUUCAGCGAGGAGGAAGGGUUCAGUGUUAAUAUCACUGUUCAUUGACGUUACUCUCAGAAGAAGCACCGGCUAACUCCGUGCCAGCACCCGCGGUAAUACGGAGGGUGCAAUCGUUAAUCG
rnacentral:rRNA from 1 species